rnacentral:sRNA from 1 species
AUCGCCGUUCGGGCAAGAGCGCUGCCGAAAACCUGCGCGACGCGUAAUUUGUCGCUGUCCGCGACCACGGAUGUACUGGCGCGGAUCUGACGACAUUGAGGAGGUCGGGCACUGCCCGGCCUUUUUUGUU